GAAUUGAUCGCAACCAAAGAUGAGCAAGGGCGCAGUAAUUGACGAUAUAUUUCGGGGAGUUGAAAAUAAUCAUAAAUCUGGAGAUAUUAAGAUAUGGCAACCUUUCAAACUGAUGGUGAAUGGUUGGACAGUAAAGAGACAACCUGGCGAACUAAAACUUAUUAGUAGCUAGACUAAUAGAAAGUAAAAGUAAUUCCCAUAGUAGCAGCGAGCGAAAUGGGAGCAGCCUAAUCCGUGAAAACGGGGUUGCGGGAGAGAAAUACAACCGUCGUGUUUAUAGGCAAGCAGCCUUAAUGCUUCAUCGUAGAUGACAAAACUCCUGUAUCCGAAAGCAUCACUAGCUUACGCUCUCACCCGAGUAGCUUGAGCGACAUGGAAUCCCAUGUGAAUCAGCACGGACCACCUUGCAAGUUUAAAUAAUCUUGGGUGACCGAUAGAAAAGUAGUAUCACGAGGGAAGGGUGAAAAGAACCACUAUCGGGGAUUGAAAUAGAACAUGAAACCAUAAGCUCCCAAGUAGUUGGAGGAGUCAGGGAUUUGGCUGUGUGCCUGUUGAAGAAUGAGUCGUCGACUCAUAGGAAGUGGCUUGGUUAAGGGAACCCACCAGAGUCGUAGCGAAACCGAGUCUUCAAAGGGAAAUUUUUCACCGCUUAUGUACCCAAACCUUGAUUAUCUAUCCAUUACUAGGAUGAAUCUUAGGUGAAACUAAGUGGAGGUCUGAACCGAAUAAUGUUGAAGAAUUAGCGGAUGAUUUGUGGUUACGGGAAAAAUGACACACAAACCCAGAGCUAGCUGGUUCUCCCAAAAAGCUUUGUGUCGCAGCUGUUUAAUGAACAUCUAGGGGUAAAGAACUAUUUUGCUGCGGGCCGUGAGAGCGGUAACAUAUAAAACCAAACUCUAAAUACUAUAUAUUACCUCAAAAUAACAGGGGUGAAGGUUGGCUAGUGAGAUUGUGGGAGAUAAGAUUUAUGGUCGAGAGGGAAACAACAUGGAUCGCCAGCUAAGGCCCCGAAAUGACCACUUACUGAUAAUGGAGCUGAGGGUGCAGAGAGAGCCAGGGGGUUUACCUAGAAGAAGACACCUUUUAAAGAGUGAAUAAUAGCAGACUUAUUGAGCACUAUUUCCGCAAAGAUGAACGGGGCUAAGCGGUUUGCCGAAGCAAUCAGAUGUAAAAAUAUAUCGGUAGGGGAGCGUUCCUUCUUAGAGAGAAGCACUGGGCGACACACGUGCUUCGGGUCUAUGUA
rnacentral:ncRNA from 1 species